GUGUCAGCAGCCGCGGUAAUACCAGCUCUCCGAGUGGUGGGGAUGAUUAUUGGGCCUAAAGCAUCCGUAGCCGGCUGGACAAGUCCCCUGUUAAAUCCAACGAUCCAAUCGUUGGUCUGCGGGGGAUACUGUCCGGCUAGGGGGCGGGAGAGGCCGCCGGUAUUUCCGGGGUAGGGGUGAAAUCCUAUAAUCCCGGGAGGACCACCAGUGGCGAAGGCUGUCGGCUAGAACGCGCCCGACGGUGAGGGAUGAAAGCUGGGGGAGCGAACCGGAUUAGAUACCCGGGUAGUCCCAGCUGUAAACGAUGCAGGCUAGGUGUUAGGGCGGCUACGUGCCGCUCUAGUGCCGCAGGGAAGCUGUUAAGCCUGCCGCCUGGGGAGUACGGUCGCAAGGCUGAAACUUAAAUGAAUUGACGGGG
rnacentral:rRNA from 1 species